rnacentral:rRNA from 1 species
UACGGAGGGGGUUAGCGUUGUUCGGAAUUACUCGGGCGUAAAGCGCGCGUAGGGCGGAUUGGAAAGUUGGGGGUGAAAUCCCGGGGGCUCAACCCCGGAACUGCCUCCAAAACUUCCAGUCUGGAGUUCGAGAGAGGUGAGUGGAAUUCCGAGUGUAGAGGUGAAAUUCGUAGAUAUUCGGAGGAACACCAGCGGCGAAGGCGGCUCACUGGCUCGAUACUGACGCUGAGGUGCGAAAGUGUGGGGAGCAAACAGGAUUAGAUACCCGGGUAGU